CGCUCCGGGCGGCUCCUUGUCACGCCGCGGGGGCGGCCGGAGCACCGCGGAGCCCCCCGCGGAGAGCGGCGCGCUCGCCCCUCAGCCGCGUUGGCCGGUCCGGUCACAGCAGGGCCGGGCUGGGGCUGCUCCCGCUGGGGAGCCGGGAGAAGGCGGGCUGGAUGGCCGGGUGGUCCGCGGUGCUGGAUGGCUGCACCGCCCCAGCCGCGUUCGGCCGUGGGAAGCUCUUGGACCACGCUGCUUUUGGUGCUCGAAUCCCACGGUGCUCCGGCUUCUCGUAACGAAGCAAGUCUCACCCGAAGCAAAUUACACACAUUCCAGCAGCAAUUUACUUUUCCUGAAAGCUGUAGUGCACCGUCAGAGUGACAAGCUGUUCUCAAGUUAAAAUAGAAUCCGAUCUCGAAAGGAACUGAUCAUAUGCCCUGUUUCCUCUGCACACCCUGAAUUCCCGCCUGCUUCCAGUGCUCAUUGCCUGCUGCCCCACUGGCUCACACCCCAUGCCAACUGACCAGCUGGGACACCCAACAUCACAGGAAAAGUCACAGAAAGCAGAAUCUGAUGAGAUACCUGGCUUUGAUUUUAUUUUAAUUCUGAUUUCCCAUUUUUUGCAUGAUUUUAAACUGAUGGUGAUCAGUGUGACAUACAGUAUCACUGCUGAUCAGGGAAUGCAGUCCCAGCAUUGCUCUUGAGUCUGCAGAAAUGGAGAAAACUGAGAACAGCAAGAGACUAAGAGCAAAGUAGGAGUUUCUAUCUUUCCUUAACAGUCCCCUGACUAUACCUACCCCAAUAAAAAGCACUUGCAUAUGAGUCAUCAAUCAUUUGAAAGCUCGUGAGCAGGUUAUGAGCUGAAAUUAUUAACAAUCCUCAGAGGGGUGGGGAACACUUUUUGCUCCACGGCCUGUUCUUCCCCACAGAAGUCACCAGCCUUAUUGCACCCCUAAUUUCCUAGUUCACAGGUUCCCCUGAGUGGAAAAAUGAGGUGUGCAAGUACUUAUCCUUCUCACCAUUGCCUCUAAAGGCCAGGCAAACCUACUCAGGUCUGCAUGCCAACUGUGAGGCUAAGGUAAGUAUAGAAGUACACAGAGAGCCAAACAUCUUGGGAGAGUGGCUGGUUCAGAACUGGGUGUGAAAGUGCUAAUAAUACAGAACAGCUUAAUAUUUUUCUUUUUUAUUUGGAAAAAAAAUAGAAUUCCUAUAAUUCACAUAAAUUAGAGAGAAUUUGUUCUUUGGUUGUCAGGAACUGAGGAAGAUGUGUAGGAUGAACAUGUAGGAUAACCUGGCAUGUUUAGAUGCCCAUGAACCUCAGGAGUAACAGCAUAGUUGGCUGAGGAUUCUUUUCCACUGACCUUGAUUUUGAAGGCACUGGGGGAAUUCCAGGAGACUGAAAGAAUACUUAUGCUGUGCUACUAUAUAAAGUGUUGAAAAGCCUUGACUAAGAUAAAUAGCAGUGACACUCCCUAGCAGGGACAGGGAGUGUAGAAAAGACAUGCUGGUAGAGACAACAAAGAAUGACAGUACUCCAAGAAUGAAAAAUAGGCACAGAAUGUCAAUUGUGGUGGUUUUUCUGAGAUUUGCCAAAGAAAUCUCGUUUCAUCAUUUCAGAUUACAGGUCUGUACAGAUACCUGUGGAGAUGUAACACACCUAGGUGAUUGCAAGGGGGGUAAUUUUGUACUGUGUAAAACCUAAUGAAAAGUUAGCAAUAUACCAUGUCAGAAAAUCUCUUGCUAAAUUGUUUAGAAACAACAGUUCCCAUAAGUAUAGUUUUAUUUAGCUCUUCCCUCUAUAUUUCAAGGACAUGCUCCAGGUUGUCCUCCCUCUCAGUGUUUGCUAAUAUGUAAUUCAGGAGCUCUUUGCUUAGAGGGAGGUGUCUGAGAGCGGAGCUGGGGCUGCAACCAGCAGAAUAUGGGUGCAAUGGGAAUGCCAGGGUACAAGGUAGGUCCAGAGCACGUGGUGAGCAGGACUCAGCACUGGAACUAGAGGAGCCCAGGGCUGCUGCCAGGUGCCAGACCACAGAAAAGCUUCUUGGAUGGACCUGUUCACCCACUGCCUUCAGAAUAAUCUGAGUUCCCUGUGCAAUCCUUCAGCAAACAAACAAAAAUAUCUACCAUGUCCUUGACUAAGUGCUGGAGGCUUAAUGGGAGUAAAGCAAGCAGGAGGAGAAGGAUGAAUUUUACACUUUUUGUACAGGAUUGGUAUGAUAGGUAGUCCUCAUUCUGAAAAGACUGAUGAAAAAUAGAGAGUGCAGAGAACCACAAAAAAAAAAUUACAAGGGCAAAGUGCUUUUCAUGGAGAGAUGGAGGGUUCCAUCUGUUUAGCUUGUCAACAAGAAAAGUGAGAAGUGACUUGCUUACAGUGUGUAAGUGCUUCCCUAGGCAGAAAAUACUGGGCAGUCAUCACUUCUCACAGCUUGCAAAGAAAGAAAACAGGAUCCAGUGGCUGAAAGCUGGAGCCAGCCAAAUUCGAUUAGAAAUUAGGCACAGAUUGGUAAAGAUGCCUCCUUAGUAAACACGUGAGCGAGGCGAGAGGGUUCCACAGAGCCAGAGAGGGUGCUUUGAGAGAUAGGCUUGAGCCAAAUGAGACAGCUUACUCAACUUUGAAUAAAAUAAAUGCAAGUCAGUGAUUUCUAAAAGGAGGGAUUAAAUUGUCAAACAACAACUUAAAAAAAAAACCAAACAAAUCAAGCUCUUAGGUCUACUUUGCUCAAUUCAUGGACAUCUGUCAGACUAGAAGAAUAAGGGGAGACAUUUCCAGUCUCUUUUCCUAACAAAAGAGUCACAGCUGGGAAACUGCCAAGAAUGACAUGCUAGGAAGACAAAAUGGAAAUCUUACACCUCUGGCUCCUUCAUACUGGUAAGUAAUCACGGAACCUUCCUGUUAGAAAGGUUCCUGGGGGAUGAAAAUGAAAGACCAUCUUUAAUUAUACUGGCCACUGUAUUGAUGCAUUUGCAUUAAGCACUCAGCUCCACUGGUGAUGAGCACAGCAUCAUUAACAUCCAGAAGGGGCAGCCUUCCAGGAUUAGAGGAAAGGGGAGAGGCAGAAGGCUACUGGUGUGAGAAGGGACAGCAGAUCCUGGUGCAGGAAGUCAGGGGUGGCACAAAACCACUUGGCUGUGGCUGAGGGGAGAUGGACAGGAGGCAGCAUGCAAAGCUGCAGUGGCAGCCCCUGGAAUGAGGCAACGCAGGAUGGAAGGUGGCCAAUAGCCUGCAGGAAAUUGAAGGGAAGAAGAAAGAUGUGCAGAUGCACCUCUGAGUAAUAACACAUUGUCCAAGAGAAGCAAAACUAUUACCUGCAGAGAACUUCCCCCUGCUUUGCCCUCAACUACAAAAUCUGUUUACACUGCUGGCCUCCCACUGCCUGCUACAGUCAUUGCUGUAACAGCAGUGUGUCCUGCUGGGAAGAAACCAAGCUGCAAGGGAAAGUUUGCUCUUGGAUCUCACCAGCUAUUGCUACAGUGCUCUCAACAUCAUGGGGCUUCCCAGCAAAAACUGAACAAACCAGCACAGCGAGUGAAAAGCUCUUCAGUGCUCUUAGAGGCUUCAGUAAAAUGCAAAGACAAAACAUUUAUGCAACCCAUGGGCCUGGGCUUUCUUGACCUACUGUGGCAUGACUUUUGGGGAUUAAAAUAAGAGAAGUGGGAAUUUCAGUCAAUGCUGGAGGUGAAAAUGGGUCCCCAGUAGACUUAAAAUACAUCAAAGCUAAAUAGCUACCAAGAGACAAUUACAGGCUUAAGCAAACUCAUGUGAUAAGCACAAAUAUUCCUGUAUAACAUGCCUAUAUAAAUGAACAUGUGUUUAUUAACCCUAUUUAGGAGUUACUGUCUUUCUUAGAACAGUUUAUUUUAAUUUAUAAUUCUUAUUUAAAUGUUUUUAAAUGAGGCAGAGGGCAUGGACAGAAAGGGGAGGACAGAAAGGAGGACAAGAAAGUCCUACAAAUUCAUUCACGGCUCCUUGUUAACACUGACAAGCUCAGAAAUUAUCUAAAUUCCUGCUGAUGUCUUCUUUUCUGAAAGCCCUCUGAAAAUGUAGGAAUAAUAAUACACAGGUGCUAGUCUAAGGCAGCUUUUCAACACUGAUUAUUUUCAACACUGAUUCUAAGGCAGCUUACAGUGGGUGAUACAAAUGGUUUUUUUGCCUUAAUAUCUUUCUGUAACAAAUGCUAUUUUGUUAAUUGCAGAGCACGAAGGUAAUUAUAUGUGGAAACAUGGGCUGUGACAUGAGGGUGUUCAUUUUGGCCAGUGUGGAGUUAGACAAAUAGAUGGUCGAUCAUGGCUUGCAUUUCCCUGUUGCUGAGUACAAACAACAAUUACAAUCCUGAUUAAUGGGAGCUACAAGUAGAGAUAAGAACCCACUUGGGCUUUAAAAGAAACAAAGUUUACUACAUGUAGAGAAGUCCUACAGAUUAAUUGCUGCUCACUGCUUUCCUUUUGCAGAUACAUCACUGCCCUCACAGGCUGGGUUUGGAUCAUCCAGUCAGUGCUUCACCAUGAUGGACAUAUUCACUGUUUUUGAUGUUUGCUUUUUGAAAACCAGUUUGUGCUUUUCUUCAGCUGCCAGACACAAGCCUGCAGCCAUAGGAUGGGUGAGAAGGUGGCAGGGCUACUGCCAGCCCCCUGUAGCUCUAAGGUGGCUGACAUGGGGAUGUAAACAACCACGGAGAACUGCAGGGGAGCAGAGCAGGCAGCCUUGGAGCUGAGCAGGGCCCGGUGCUGCUGUCUCUGAGCAGCCCUUUUGGGGCAGGCACAGCCCUGCCUGCAGCCAGCGCUGGGCCCCAGCCCGGAGCACCCACGCAUGCAGCAUGCACCUGCCUGAGACUGACUGCAAGUUUUGCAACCCGCUUUGAUGAGUGCAAACAAAAAUAUCCAUCGUCAAUUUAAUUCUUCAUUCAGCUCUCAUAAUUGGUUACAGCAAGUGAUAGUUGGGUGUUGAAUUAAUUUUUGCCCUCUCAAGUUCUGUACUUUAAGAUGUGUCAAAAGACAUGUUGCUAUUUGCUGUAGUUUGUGGUGAUCCUGGAAAUAUCUGCUUCUGUUGCUGCUUCUCAAAUCUUAAACUUCAAUGGCUAAUUCAAGCUUUAAAAACUCAAAGACUAACAGAAGUGUAAGGAAUUUUUUGAAGGAAAAGAUCAACCAGAAAAAAAAUCAAUCAGAAAUUAUCUGAAGUCUAUAAUUUGAAGUCUGUUGGAAAGAAUUUCAAGCUGAUAAAACACAAAUUAACUUUUGCUGUCAGUAUUGACAGCAACAACAUUCCAGGACAGAGAGACACAAAUUGAAAAAUGUUAUUUAUAAAAACGAAGCCAGAUUCCACUGGAGAGGAAUGCAAACUAAAUAGCAGGAGCUAAAGGAAAGCCAGGUAGAUUUUGGUGGUAGGGAACCCCCAUGGCUUCCAGGUGCUACCCCCAGCGUCUUGCCCUGUCCAUGAAACAGAAGAAAGGUAGUGCAAAUCCCUUGUUGGCCUCUGUUUCUAUUUCCAGACUAGCUCUUCUGCUUUGGAUUCACAUUAUUAAUGGGCUCCCUGGGGCACAGACAUCCAGAAAUUAAGCUUUGUAUACCCAGAAGGCCAAGAGCACUGCCAAGAGUUGGCAGCUGAUGGAGACUCAUGGUGACGAGGCUCAGAGGGGAUGUCCCCUGUCAGAGGCACAGAGGUCUCUGUCUCAGGGUGGCUUUGUGCUGAGUGCACCAAGCCCUCCUAGGCUGGGUCCCAGACAGAUGUGAAGGUCAGACUGAAGAUGUCGAAGGUCAAGUGAAGAUAUGCCAAAUAACAUAAAUGUCAUCCUUGUGCCAGCAGUGAUCUUGCUGCUGUGUUGCAGGCUAGUGAGGUGUGUCUGAGGCUCAUGCCUAUAUUAUUUUUUUUUUGGAAAGUAAAGCAGAUCCAUGAAUUCCCCAACAUCCAAGGCAAAUAAAUCCUUUUUUUUUUAAACACAGUUACUUCAAAUGAAAACAUGCUAUGGUUUUCUUGAUUUCUCUGGCCAUUGCCAGACACAAGGAAAAUGCUACACACAUAUUGCUGAAUUUGAUUUUGCCUCACUGGAUUUUUAUGGAUGGUUACCCUCAAAAAACAAAUUAUUAAUAGGCCUGUGUCUAAAUGCUCAACCAUGUGAGACUUCAUCUGUUACAUUCAGGCUGUGUUUUGAUAGAUUGUUAUUCCAUUAACUAAAAAUCCUUUGGGCUAUGAAGGAUAUAAAACAGUCCUACAACCACUUGCCCUAAAACUAAUAUUUAAAUAUCACAGGGAAAAAUUGAGUAGUCCAUUAGAGGAAUGGGAAAGGAAUUACAUCAUAGACAAAGAGAAUGAAAUAGAUAUGAUUUCUAGAAGUAUAAAUCAAUGAAAAAUAAAAAUAUUUUGAACUGUGAUUUAAGUGAUGCUAACAAUACUACAAAUCAUUAAAAUUGAUUUUGUAACCCCCUUGUUGUUUCAGAGAUUAAAUUACACUAAAAAUAAUAAUGUAGUUUUGGUAUAAUUUACAUAAAGAAAAAGCUAGGCUCCUAAAAUUUCAGUUUUCUGCAUAUGCUUCUUAAUGGGAACAAAUUCCAAAACCAUUUUGAUUUUAGAAGCAAUUUGGGAAGCUGUCCAAUGAUUAUUGCUCCUGCUCUAAAUUCCCAGGCAAAAAUUAGCCACUAACUUUUAUUUUCACUCAUGCACAAAAUCAAAAAUUCUUGCUUAAUCUCUUCUGCCUUUUCUGGUUUAUAGUGCAGGAUAAACACAAUUAAAUGAAGAAAUUAAUGAUUUUAAUUAAUGAGCAAGAAAUUUUGAUUUGAAUAUGAGUUUUAAACUAGCAUUACACAUCUAUAUAAUUUGAUUUUGAGAAAGUUUAGCAUUCUUUGUUGGAAACUUUGUAAUGCAAUUUCUACCUAAAUAUAAUCUUGAUGCUAAAUGUGGUAUUUCUUUUCCUACCUAUGUACCCAUGCCCAUUUGUGUAUACAGAUCUUGACUGGAGUACAUUUAUUCGUGUUCUAAUUUUUUUGUACACUGAUAAUAUUUAAAACCAAAGAAAUCAUUAGUCAGAACCUGUAAGCAGAGAGGAGAUAUAUAAAUCUAAGUCUUAAAGUGCUUUUUAAAAAAACCAAGCCCUCCCAUAGAUGAUUAUUACAUAUGUAUAUUUCAAAAACAAUGCUUUUUUCCCCUCAAGGUCCUGGUUGAAUUCUGCCUUUUAUGUUCGUUGCCUGUGAACAAAGCUAAGACCACCUGCAAAAUUCAUCAGCAUGGCAAGUGACAUUGCAUGGGUUCCAGUGAUUAAAAAACAUAAGGAAAUAGCCAGACCUGGUUUUGGCCCUUCAGCAAAGGGAAGUCUCUGGCAGCUCUGAUUUCUUCUGCAGAUUGAGCACAGUCCUGCUGGCAGCUGGGUAUGGGGCACACAGCAGAGCACUCCCCUUCCUGGCUCCAUGCUGGAGGUAAGUCAGCAUCAGCUCUGGCACGAGAGCCUUGCUCUGCCUGGCAAGCAGAGGGUGGUGUUCAAAGCCCAGCAGGUCUCCAGGACUGAAUACCUGCUGGGCCCUUCCCCACUGCCACGGGCUGCUCUGAUAUCUUUCAGUGAGAUAAGCUUCCCCUUGGUGCAAUCCAGCAUCCACUGCGGGCUUUGCGUGAGGAACCUGGAGUGCCAUUUACAGGCUGCCACUUUCGCCCACACCUUGAAGUUCCCACUUUUGUACACUCCUUGUAAGCACCAUGUGAAAGCAGAGCCUUUAGAUCUGCAGGUUUUUUAACCUCUAAGCAAAGCAAGGAUCUACUCCCUCCCUCCCCACCAGCUGCCAUCAGAAUAAUAGGCCCCAAGGAAUUAGUUAAAUCAAAGGUUUCACUCUGAAUGCAUCACAGCUGUGGAAAACAUUUACUUCAGGUUUUUGGGGCUGAUGACUUCCAGCUCUAUCCAAAAUAAUUGCCCCUGUAAUUCCAAUCAAGACUGCUUCCCAACACCAACUUUAGCAGGAAACAUCCUAAAAACUGAAGCCUAAAGUUACUUGACAUAGAAAUAUGAGUUGGUGAGUAUCUGAAUGCCCUCAGUGUGCCCUCAAUGAGCCAGCUGGGCACAGUGUGCAGGACUCAGUAGUAUGGCACUAGUUGGGCAGGAAGUGACAAGGCCUCCUGCCCUCUCCUUUCAGCAUCUUUAAAUGCCUUAGGAUGUCCCUGCCUGUCAAAGAUUUCUCCUCUUGCUGUAACUGGAAUGGUUAUGAGAUGGUCUCCUGAAGCUCCUUUCACCACUGUUCUCUGCUCCAACAUGUCCUGGGCAGUUUCAGCUGAGAGGGCAGAGAGGCAGCAGCGAGGCAGGAUGCAGUGCCCAUGGAGGGAAGGGCACCGUGCCAACGCACGGGGCUGGGCUGGGCCUGCUGGGGGCACAGCAAAAGCCUGCAGGCAAGGGCUGCUCAGGACCCUGGGGAUGUGGAAAGCUACUGGUACAGGCACAAUUUCAAAAUAAAAAGUGGGUUUCAGCUGCUGCUCCUGGCAGAGGUACCUGUCUUAUUCUUAAAGAGUCUGUUCCCAUAUCAGAAAUUUGUUUCUUUUAAAACUUAUUUAGUGCAAGAGGAAUAUUUCUGUCAGUGCUUUGGCUGCACUUGGUUGAAAACACCACUGUGACACUUGACCAGCUUGGCAUUCAAAAUGUCAUUUAGACCAGAAAGCAACUGAACCUGAAUACUGAGGCAGAUGUCACGAGCAAAGGUGAACUUCUGUAACUGAAUGAGGUUGCUGAUAAAAAGACUGAAUUGCAGAAGCAUUUGCAGAAAGUCCAGCGGAAGACCGCUGAAUCUUCUGCAUAUGCUUUAUUUCCUGUAUGUGCCUUGUGCAAUCUACCUUGGAGCAGCAAUGCUGUAAGAGAUGUCACUGAAAGUUUGCAUUUAAAAUCCAGUAUUUGCUGGUUAAAGCAGGAUGAGCAGGUUUCUGUCCUCUCCAGAAAUGGGAUUGAUGAUAUUUCUAAACUAAGCUACUUAGUCCUAGACUUGCUUGCAGGCCAGGAGGACAUGCUCAUUUUUCUCUUUCUAUGUAGCAUUGCUGCACACACAGUUGUUCAAAACUGUUUGUUACCUCUACAUUUCUGUUCCAGAUGACAACAAAUGACAAAGAGGCUGAGAUCUGUUCUUUUAGCAUGGAAUGUGUAGGAAGAGUUACUGCCUAUCCCCUAAGUACAGAAUCUCAUCCCCAAAUGUACCUCCUGGUGUGUGUUUAGGAUGCAGUCCAAAAAGCCACAGGACAAAGAAGGAAGAGGAAUGAAAUUGGUAAAAAAACACAUUAAGGAGAAAUAGAGACAAAAAAAAAAUUAAAAGUUAAUUGCUGUACCUGUGUUUGAGCCCACAGGGCUUGCAGAGAUGAGUGUUAGUGAUGAAGCUCUCCAUUGGUGCUGGGGCAAACUUUGUUCUUAAGGUCACAUAAUCCAUCAAGAUAAAAAUGUUAAACAAGUCCUUUCCACUUAUGCUACUCAGUAUGGUUCAAAUUGCUUUUCAGCUGUGCCCAGUGCUUUUGCUGAAUUAAAGUAAAUUAAACAUUAUCCUUUUCUAAUUAGAUAGGUUAGAAGAUGUUGGUGCUACUUCCUACUAAUUUAAAGACUAGAACUAAUUUAAAGAAAUUAAAGCAAAAAACUCCACCUUUAAACAAUGAAUUAAUCCAGAAUUUGAUUUAAUAAGGAAGAAUACAACUGAGGGUUUAGAAACCCAGUCAGGUGGGCAUGCAAAGGAAAAUCAGCCAGUGUGGAGUCAGUGGUGCAGCCACUGUGGAGACUAUUGGGGAGCACAGGUUUUUCCUUCCUGACACGCAAUUGCAAGCAUGUAAUACAUCCAGCCCCCUUCUCAGUCAUCUUUAACAACCAUUUCUGUAAGUCAUUACACUGAGUGUAAUUGCCAAGGGGCUGGCAGGGGGGUCUCUGUGGGGAGAGGCCAGGGCUGCCCUGUGCUGGAUGCAGCCAACGCACCACAGGGCACGGCUCAGUCUGGCUGCCAAACAGGGGCACCUCUGGGAAAGAGGAUUUGAGGUGGGGCAAACAAAUAUUGCACAGGCAGAGGAUGGAAGGGGGAAGAGGUGGGCAGCAGUCACCUGAACACCAAGUUGAAAGCAGGAGGAGGGUGAGGAGGUGCUGCCACAGCUGAGAUUCCUGGCAGCCCCAGGAGGAAUCCACAGCAGCAAGCAGGCAUUUCCCAACAGCACGCUCAGCCUGUGGAAAACCCAUACAGGCUUUAUCUGAAAGAACUGCAGCUCAUGAGGAGGAGCCAGGCUGAAGCAGGGGGCAGGAACAGCAGAGCCCACAACAGCUGUUACAGACUGACCACCAUCCCCUGAGGAGGAGGCACGAGUCAGAAGUGAAGGUGUGAAGUACUAGGAAGGGAGGCUGGUGUUUUACAGUUUUUGACUUUUUGACUAUGCAGUUUUAAUUGGCAAUAAAUUAAAGCCUCUUUUGCUCUUGAUGGUAACUGGCAAGCACUCUUCCCAUUUUUCUCAACCCAUGACGUUUCUCUUUUCUUCCCCAACCAGCUGAGAUGCUGGAGUGAAUGAAUGAGAGGCUGGGUGGGCACACCUCCCAUCAGUUAUCCACAGAGUAGGGAAUCAGGUACAGAAGCCUUGUGGAGUGGGCAAGCUUUGCUAAAGCACAUAUGCAGACUAGAACAAAAGUCAACCAUUAGCAAGAUACAGAAAAAAGCCACAGCCCUCACUUUCAAAUGUGAACUUGCCAGCUUCACAUUUUUGAGACUGGUUGCUGGCACAUUUUACUUCUCUACCUCCUAAAAAGGUGUGCAAUAUUGAACUUCCCAAGACCUUUAAGAAUCUUGACACAGGAGAGCAACAGUCCAUCUCAAACCCUUACGAGAGUAUCUUGUAAUGCACCUGCACAGCAAAAGAGAUCUUUGUGACAGAGCACCCUCUUCUUAUGGCUGAGUUCCCUUAUGGGUGAGAUGUCAUUUGAUCAUGUAGCCUUACAAGUUUUAUAUUAUGUUUCAUCCCAUACUGGAACAGAGCAGUGUGUUUUGCAUACUCAUGCACAUACAUAGGAACA